CAUCACCAUUGUCAUCAAAACAUGUAAAAAAAAAUCCUCCAAAUUAAAUAUCAACAAACUUAUUUAUUUAAUAAAAAUGUUGAAAUGAAACUGAAUAUGAUAAUAUUCUUUUCUUAGAAAAUCUUUAAAGUUCGUGAAUUGAGAGAAUUGUUGUAGAGGUUUCAUUGCUCACGAAAACCCAAACAACCCAAACCCGUAGCGCUCAGAACUAGGGUUUCGAAUUUUUCUUCUUCCAAGUACGAUUUCAAUUCAAUGGUGUGGAGGACUUUGUUGCGUUCACACGCGCGUUCAUUUGCCACACGCGCGUCACAGUCCCACCAUAACAACCACCGCGAAAAUCACAAGUUCCUAUCGCCGAGCUCCUUUGUUGGAAGCUGGCAAGCUCCGAAGGAUCCUAAGGAAGCCGAAGCAAUGCUUGCUCAGCUUCGGAGAGACUACGCAAAGCAAGUGAAAGAGGUUCGGAAGGAAUACAUAAGAGAAAUGGAGGCUAUGGCGUUGGAGAAGCAACGGAAGGACGAGGCUCGGCGGGAAUCGCUUAGAGUUGCUAAUGAAGAGCGUAAGAAACUUAAGGCUCAGGCUGCAGAACUUAGAGCUCAAGAACGUAACAUUGCUCAACAACAGUUUCGAGAAACCCUUUUAAAAGAGAGAGCAGAGAAACUUGAAAAUUGGAGAAUGAAAGCCAAAAAGCAUGAUGAGAAGAAGGCCGAGAAGAAAGAAUUAUUGCAUAAGCGAAGUUCAUUGUGGGUUGAUGAAGCCGAACUAGAGAAGGAAAUAACGAACGUUGUAAUUGCUACAACAUAUCUUUGAGCGGUUGAGCCCCUUGCGGUUUCAUAUCUACUGGGCGAGCCCCAAUGUUCAAAGAAGCCUCAGCAAAAUAAUUCUUACAAACCAAUUGCUUUUAGAUGCUUCCGGGGUUAGCCAUCAGCCUCUCAUGACUUCCCAUUUCUGCAACCUUUCUGUGUUGCAGCACUGCAAUGCUGUCUGCGUCUCGAACAGUCGAGAGCUUGUGAGCUACCAAAAUUUGUCAUCCGACCUUCCAUAAGCUUAUCAAGAGCUUCUUGGACAACUCUUUCUGAUAUUGUGUCCAUGGCAUUUGUUGCUUAAUCUAACAGAAGAAUGGAUGGGUCUUUCAGAAUAGCUCUAGCAAUUGUUACCCUUUGUUUUUGUCCUCUUGAUAACUGGACUCUUCUCUCACCUACCUCGGUUCUGUACCCUUCAGGCAUUCUACUAAUGAAUUCAUGAGCAUUUGCUGCUUUGGCUGCCUUCAUUUAAACAAAGAGACAUGUCCCGUCUAUGCUCACUCGCACGUUCCGCUUAAGCAUGCUUAAAAAUGGGUCGGAGCCGAGUCAACUUAGGAAGUUGAUUUCAAAAUCUCACUCCGUCCUAUUUAUUGGCUGGCUAGCGAGUUGACGAGUUGACCGUCGAGCAAAAUAUAUUGUAACACGUUUUUCAAUUAGAAAUCAAAUGUUUGGUAAAAAAAAUUAGAAAUCAAAUUUAACAUUUAGAAUUUUGAUAUAAUUGAACCUGUAUUAGCAGAAAUACAAAGAUAAGUGAUAUGUUCAGAUUCUUUUCUA